GCAGCUUAAUCAACACAGAAGCAGAACUUUUCUCUAGAGGUUGCCAAUAGGUGGCAGCAAAUACUGUGAUCACAGCAGAAGACAAUCCUUCCAUGGCCACACAACAUGGAGCUUUCUUCACUUUCAGAAUCUUACUGUACUCCUUUUUCUCCUUUUUUUAAAAAAAUGUUUUUAUCACCAGUAACUGUUACUAGAUGAUGUGCCAACUUUGUACAGUAGCAAUAGUUUGAUUAACAUUUGUAUUUUUGUGAUUUUCAGAUUGAUACAAAAUAAUAAAGCAGAUGUUUUGAAAAUGUAUAUUUCUUCAAUUUUUUUUCUUUUUUGUGCUUGCUUAUUUCAUUUUCUGUGAGAGCAGAAGUAAAGCAGGGACCACAGCCCUUUAUUGUACUGCACUCCUGCUUCUGCUGACACUGCAGACACUUGAGUUGCACAUGCAGUAGUAACUAGCGGGAGUGAGUGUGGAAUGAUUUAUGUGCUGCACUGGGCUGCCUUUGAAGUGGCACCGUUGUAAGGAAAAAGUGCAUCACAAUUUGCCUAUCUCUGUGUUUAAUGCCGUUUAAAGGCAGAUUUUCCGCCAUAGUGAGCGUGGCGGCCUCUGUGAAGGUAACAGCUGCACAUGUAGGCUGUAUUUUCUCCUCGGAGUUGCAGGAACAGGCUGACUGCACUGCACAAAGCACACAAAGGGAGGUAGAAACUGCUGCAUUUUCAGCAUGCAAUAGCUCAGGAAGCUGUGCAAAAUAUUGGCGCUACCAAAGAGAAAUUGUCUUAAUUAUUCACCAAUAGCCAUCCACAAGCCUGCGUGAUGCUCAGUAGAUCAUUCGUCAUGUCUGCUUUUCAGUGAGAUAAAAUCCACUGUCUUCUCUACUUUGUAUCCUAACUUUGUGUUGGUGUGGUGCACCCUCCCUGUCCCCAGUAGCUGCAGUCUGGCUGUUUUUUUCAAUGCUGGGAUUACCCCAGUAUUGCACCACUGGCUUUAACUGUGAAUGCAGCGUUUCACCAGCAGAGGGGUCCCUACACUGAAGGCUCUCCAAGCUGCUCUGCCUGCUGUGCUGUCCGGUUCCAACCAUUUCAUAUCCAGACUUUAACCGCAACCCAGCAACCUGCUAAAUAUCUAAGAGGCACAGCUCUGCCACAGCAUCUCUCUGCAGUGCAGCCAUGGCCACCACAGAAACAAUGUUUCCUGACCAAAGUGACUUUGAUUAUGCUCCAGCUCAUCUGGUACCCAAAUUCCAAAGACAGAGGUGCCUCCUCCAGCUGUAUAGAAAAUGUAGCACAUGCUUCAAAGGGAGACAAGAGGUCAUCACAGGAUCCAUGCUAGCGAAUAGACGCACACACACCAGCUGUUUUGUGGCCAUUUAUCUAAUGGCUAAUAUACCUCUGCCAGCUGGAUGUUUAAUAAACAGGGUUUUCCCAACACACCCUCACCUGAUCCCUCAUCUCCCCCUGAAUUCUGUAGAAAGUCUGCAAAAUAUAUGUCGACAGAUCACUCAGUAUUGCAUCAGUGUAGGGACCUGCAGCUUGUUUAGGACAAAAAAGAAACGAAACCCCAAUUAUGAGAUUCGAUGAUGUGCACUUAAUCAAACGUAUGCAACAAGUGUAGUUUCUCUUCCAUAUAUUUUAUUGCUGCAAAACAAUAAAGUCAAGAGCAUGAUUACAAAAUUAUACAAUUGUCCAUUUUGUGUCCAUGAGUUAACAAUUGCAUGCAUUGCUUAUUUUCUGUUCUGAUCUACUUUUUUUUUGACAUUUGAAAAACAAAACAACUGAAAAAGCUUAACAGAAUAGUAAAGAACCAAUAAAUAAAUAGCACAAAUAUAAGAAGCUCAAAUUAAAUGAUGGAAAAAAUAAAUGAGAACAUUCAGUAAUGUAUUGCAUUUUGAGAUUGCUUUGAGAAAUAUAAUGGCUAAUAUUUUUAAAUGUAGGCAGAAUUAUUUCAAGUGAAAAUUUCUUGUGAAACGUAAAAACCAAUCUAAUAAAGAUCUUGCCAACUCA